rnacentral:misc_RNA from 1 species
GAUGAAGAACGCAGCGAAAUGCGAUACUUGGUGUGAAUUGCAGAAUCCCGUGAACCAUCGAGUCUUUGAACGCAAGUUGCGCCCGAAGCCACUAGGCCGAGGGCACGCCUGCCUGGGCGUCACACGUCGUUGCCCCCCCCCCAUCUACUCCUUCGGAAUUGCGGGGGGCGGAUGAUGGCCUCCCGUGCGCCUAGCCGCGCGGUUGGCAUAAAUACCAAGUCCUCGGCGACGCACGCCACGACAAUCGGUGGUUGCGAAACCUCGGUUGCCCGUCGUGUGCGUUCGUCGCGCAUCGAGGGCUCGAAAAAAUGCUCGGCUCCGGCUCGGCUUUCAACGCGACCCCAGGUCAGGCGGGGUUACCCGCUGAAUUUAAGCAUAUCAAUAAGCGGAGGA